GUGAGCAUCUCGGCAGCCUGAGUAUCCUGCUUCUUGGAAACCACUGUUCUGUUCAACUUUGAGCCCUUUCGCAGCCCUGCCUCUCUAUCUUCCAUUUUUUUAAAUCAAAUCAGGCAACACUCUUGAAGCAUUAAAAAAAAAAAAGACUCAAAUACCAAGUGGGGAAAAAAAUAUCACUAGAAUAAACCCAUUAUUGCAGCUAGGCGAAAUAUGCAAGGAUGUACAGAAAGCGGUGGGGGAUCAUGGGUGCCCUCAGAGGAUGUGAUUGAGUUUUCUUUUUUUUCCCCCCCAAUUUCCUUGUCUGCGGAUCUAAUCACGCUGGAAUCCCCCCAACUUUUCAGAAAGCUACCUCGUUUCUGACAGCUCCUGUUUUGUUUUAAUCUGGGCCCUGGCAAUUGCUUUCCUCCUAAGCAUCAGGGAAAGGCAGUCGUGCUGGGCCUUUGUAAGAAGGAAAGACUUUUCUUAAAAGUGUGGUUUGUUUUGAAUAGACUGUCAAAUCUUUAUUUAACUGCUUUUGAAAGUACCUUGUGGUUGCCUCUUAGAGUCCCUCCUGCAGAAGGAGACAUUUGAGAGACACUGCCUUGGGCCACACAGUUUCAGAGCAAAGAACACACCAGGGGGGUUGGCCCUGAGUUCAAGGCUCUAAAGGCAAGGCAUCUCAUACUCUCGCAGUAUCGAGCCCCCCCGCCCCCAAAUGGUGUCUAAACUCAGCUGGUCAGAAUGUGUGUCCCCUUUUGCCUGGUGGACCCAAAAGAAAAUGAAGUCUUGGUUUGAAAUAAAGACAAAGUUGUCAACGGCUCCCCACUGCCUAACAUUCAACAUCGAUACAGAACUUUUACAAAAAUCCAUCUCUCUGGUCAAGUUGUUACCUGCUCCCAAACACCUUUCUCAGGAGAAUAAACAGUUUAAAGUGAGGUAAUUGUUCCGGAUGAGGUAAUUGCGAUAAAUAGCUUUCUUCCCAGGAAAAAGAGGAUGAUAGGCAGAAAGAUUGAUUCCUUGAUAAGCACGCAGGCCAUCCCUCUCCGGAGUGCCACCAGACACGUGACUGUCAGCAAUCACUUCCUCACGUCUUCUUGCCGUUCAAUAAAAGGUUUGGGACCCGGUCAAGAAAACCAAGCUCUGGGGAAUGAAGGCUUGGAAACAAAGACUGAUGUGGGACUGGCCAGGGACUCGUCUGAAAAUCUCUUUAGAAUCUUGAUGCAUGAAUCAUACUCCGUUCCAUUUGGAGAACCAUCCAUACCCAUUUGGAGAAGGACACUGAGUGGUCACUGCUUGAGAUCAUGGUCUCUGGCUGAGGAGCAGCGUGGAAGAACUGACCUGAGAAUCAGGAUGCCAGGGUGCUGGGCCCUGACACUGCCGGGGACUGACUGUGUGGCCUGAGGCAAGUCAACAGCCCCUCCUCUGAGUUUCUUCAUCCGUAAAAUGGGGGUAUUUCACUAGAUAAGCUUAAGACCAACCCUAUUGAAGAUCCAUCAUUUUCAACUCUAGCAUAUCGUGAUCUUGAAUGCCCAGUACAAUCAAGUUGGAAAUUAAGCCACUCCUUCUGAAACUGGGACAAUUACGUAGCAAAUGCGUUGUGUUCUAGAGAAAUUAUUUUGGAUCAUAGCCGAUCUAUAAGCGUUAGCUGUAACCAAGGAAUAUUCAUUUAAGGAAGAGGCUUAGGAAAGUGUUUUUCUCGUUUUUGCUGCUUGGAUUGACUAUGACUAAAUGGCACCCCACUCCAGUACUCUUGCCUG
ensembl:lncRNA